UACGUAGGUCCCGAGCGUUGUCCGGAUUUAUUGGGCGUAAAGCGAGCGGAGGUGGUUUAUUAAGUCUGGUGUAAAAGGCAGUGGCUCAACCAUUGUAUGCAUUGGAAACUGGUAGACUUGAGUGCAGGAGAGGAGAGUGGAAUUCCAUGUGUAGCGGUGAAAUGCGUAGAUAUAUGGAGGAACACCGGUGGCGAAAGCGGCUCUCUGGCCUGUAACUGACACUGAGGCUCGAAAGCGUGGGGAGCAAACAGG
rnacentral:rRNA from 1 species